rnacentral:rRNA from 1 species
CCUACGGGAGGCUGCAGUGGGGAAUAUUGGACAAUGGGGGCAACCCUGAUCCAGCCAUGCCGCGUGUGUGAAGAAGGCCCUCGGGUUGUAAAGCACUUUCAGUGAGGAAGAACGCCUGGUGGUUAAUACCCAUCAGGAAAGACAUCACUCACAGAAGAAGCACCGGCUAACUCCGUGCCAGCAGCCGCGGUAAUACGGAGGGUGCGAGCGUUAAUCGGAAUUACUGGGCGUAAAGCGCGCGUAGGUGGCUUGAUAAGCCGGUUGUGAAAGCCCCGGGCUCAAACUGGGAACGGCAUCCGGAACUGUCAAGCUAGAGUGCAGGAGAGGAAGGUAGAAUUCCCGGUGUAGCGGUGAAAUGCGUAGAGAUCGGGAGGAAUACCAGUGGCGAAGGCGGCCUUCUGGACUGACACUGACACUGAGGUGCGAAAGCGUGGGUAGCAAACAGGAUUAGAUACCCUAGUAGUA